CUCUAUACCCUUCUAAAAGCAUCUAAUUUCAUAAGUACCCCUUUAAAAACUGAAAUAUCAUAUAUACCCCCUCAAAUUUAACAAACUUUCAAAAAUACCCCUGCCAUCAAAUCUCCAUCCAUAUGAAAAUUAAUAAUAUUUAUAUUCCAACUUUACCCCUCUUAAUUAUUCAUUGGUCAAUUAAUAAUUCUAUUUCAUAAAUACCUUCUUUUAUAUUUCAAAAUUAAUUAAAUUCUAUCUAGACUAAAAAUUUAGUAAAAUUCAAUUGAUUUU
rnacentral:lncRNA from 1 species